rnacentral:tRNA from 1 species
GAGGGGUGGUCUAACCAGCAAGAACUGCUAACUCUUGCAUCUGAGUUUAAAACCUCAGCCCCCUUA